AACAACUUGCAAAAUCAUUAGAUUUAAAUGAGCUUUUACCGACGCAACAUUUCCUCAAGUGAAUACUGCCUCUGCUUGUGUGUGAAUGGGCUUUCUUUUAAAUCUAAUAUCCUACGUGCUUUUUCAAUAAUUGAAUCAGCUGCACUGUCUUACAGUCAUCGACUAAAACUAUAAAAGAAUCGCCUUAGAAAGUUGUAGGUACUCCAUCAUCAAGCUAUGAAUUCGUUCCAAAAAUUACGUCAGGCGUUGAAAACUAAGAAGCAGGAAACCGCAGAUGAGUGCAAUGUCUUCAAAAAUCCAAAACCUUCUUUCAAGACAGCACCUUCCUUGUUAAGGAACCCUUUUAAGAAAGGCAGCAAAAAGAAUUCGAAGCAUCAACCUCUUCCGGAAAUGCCAAAUGAGGAAGAGACACGCUUCAAGACAAGUUCCAUUCAAUCUUCGGUCGAAGACAUUUUUGCUGAAAGCAACUUGAUUGAUUUUGAUACCGAAGAUCCAAUAUCGUUAAUGAUUAUUCCGCAUCGGCAAUGUAACUAUUAUUUUCAAAUUCUUUCUUUCUUUUCUUUUUUUUU